UACGUAGGCAGCAAGCGUUGUUCGGAGUUACUGGGCGUAAAGAGUGCGUAGGCGGUUUUUUAAGUUUGGUGUGAAAUCUCCCGGCUUAACUGGGAGGGUGCGCCGAAAACUGGAAGGCUCGAGGAUGGGAGAGGCAUGCGGAAUUCCUGGUGUAGCGGUGAAAUGCGUAGAUAUCAGGAGGAACACCUGCGGUGUAGACAGCAUGCUGGACCAUUUCUGACGCUGAGGCGCGAAAGCUAGGGGAGCGA
rnacentral:rRNA from 1 species